GCGAGAAUCAAUUGUUCUCCUCUCUGGACCUGAAAUGUCAAUGUAUUACUUAGAGUUUGCAGGCUUUUAUACCUACUGUGGAAUGGGCGCAUGCAGUAAAGGGGUGACUUUCUCAGAGAACCCAGACAUGAGUGUUCAAAAGGGGCAGAUGGAUACUAGGUUUGACCAGCUGAUGUAUUUAACAAAUAGUCAUCAUCAUUAUUUAUGGAGGCUUGUGGACUAUGGCUGGUGGUAACUCAGAACUGC